UCCUGAUGUUAGCGGCGGACGGGUGAGUAACACGUGGGUAACCUGCCUGUAAGACUGGGAUAACUCCGGGAAACCGGGGCUAAUACCGGAUGGUUGUCUGAACCGCAUGGUUCAGACAUAAAAGGUGGCUUCGGCUACCACUUACAGAUGGACCCGCGGCGCAUUAGCUAGUUGGUGAGGUAACGGCUCACCAAGGCGACGAUGCGUAGCCGACCUGAGAGGGUGAUCGGCCACACUGGGACUGAGACACGGCCCAGACUCCUACGGGAGGCAGCAGUAGGGAAUCUUCCGCAAUGGACGAAAGUCUGACGGAGCAACGCCGCGUGAGUGAUGAAGGUUUUCGGAUCGUAAAGCUCUGUUGUUAGGGAAGAACAAGUGCCGUUCAAAUAGGGCGGCACCUUGACGGUACCUAACCAGAAAGCCACGGCUAACUACGUGCCAGCAGCCGCGGUAAUACGUAGGUGGCAAGCGUUGUCCGGAAUUAUUGGGCGUAAAGGGCUCGCAGGCGGUUUCUUAAGUCUGAUGUGAAAGCCCCCGGCUCAACCGGGGAGGGUCAUUGGAAACUGGGGAACUUGAGUGCAGAAGAGGAGAGUGGAAUUCCACGUGUAGCGGUGAAAUGCGUAGAGAUGUGGAGGAACACCAGUGGCGAAGGCGACUCUCUGGUCUGUAACUGACGCUGAGGAGCGAAAGCGUGGGGAGCGAACAGGAUUAGAUACCCUGGUAGUCCACGCCGUAAACGAUGAGUGCUAAGUGUUAGGGGGUUUCCGCCCCUUAGUGCUGCAGCUAACGCAUUAAGCACUCCGCCUGGGGAGUACGGUCGCAAGACUGAAACUCAAAGGAAUUGACGGGGGCCCGCACAAGCGGUGGAGCAUGUGGUUUAAUUCGAAGCAACGCGAAGAACCUUACCAGGUCUUGACAUCCUCUGACAAUCCUAGAGAUAGGACGUCCCCUUCGGGGGCAGAGUGACAGGUGGUGCAUGGUUGUCGUCAGCUCGUGUCGUGAGAUGUUGGGUUAAGUCCCGCAACGAGCGCAACCCUUGAUCUUAGUUGCCAGCAUUCAGUUGGGCACUCUAAGGUGACUGCCGGUGACAAACCGGAGGAAGGUGGGGAUGACGUCAAAUCAUCAUGCCCCUUAUGACCUGGGCUACACACGUGCUACAAUGGACAGAACAAAGGGCAGCGAAACCGCGAGGUUAAGCCAAUCCCACAAAUCUGUUCUCAGUUCGGAUCGCAGUCUGCAACUCGACUGCGUGAAGCUGGAAUCGCUAGUAAUCGCGGAUCAG
rnacentral:rRNA from 1 species